CCCGAUUCACAAAAGGUGUAAAAAGCUACGACCUGUACCUCUAUAGGAUUUAAGCCCGACUUCACUAAACCACAAUGAGCCUUUCAACAAAAAAUUACAAACAUAUAUAACCUAAGGAGUUAUAAACUCUAAUUCCUAACAACUCACAAACCUCCCAAUUGAUGUGUUCCACUCUUCGAGUUAUCCCAACUUGUAAUUCAUUUUAUAGCACAACUUAAACUAAGACUAGAUCAACAUUACAACUCAACGAACAAAUCCUAAUACAUGAAUGCUCAAACUCUUAACUAAACACUACACUAGGACCAGGUUCUUCAAUGUGUUUCUUCGGUAUUCAAGUAGCACUUACAAAGUCGAUCUGCCAAUUGCCUUUUUGCUAUAUGAGUGUGUAAGUAACUUUAAGCGACUGAUCUUCUAUUUAAGCACUACUCUUCAUAGAGUUGUUCUUCAAUUACAAUGUCUUAUCAACUAGAACUCUCUUUGUUUAGAGUUCUACUUCAAGUGAAACUCCUUCUUCAAAUCAAACUCCUUGCCUCUUUAGUGUUGUAGUCGAACUCUAACUCUUCAAUUUAGCACAUGUUUAUUUUUUUUUUAUUUUCAAAAGUAGCCAUCAUCCGUUUCUUGAUUAUUGCACACUUGUCUUUAUUCAUUAGUGAGCUACAAAUUUAGCUCUUUGAGAUAGUGUAUCUGUGAACUAGCUUGACUUAUAUGUUUUAUGUCACUUUGUCAAUCUUCAAAAUUGCAUAGAACCCAACAAGGAUAGCUAUAGUAAAGCUCUAAACUCAAAAAAAAGUAUAGAAAUAAGAAAAAUGACCUAGAGAGUCAUUACACAGAUCUACGAUUUGAAUGAAUUGGAGAAGUAUGAAGGACCAUCUAUUUUAAGAUUGAAUUUUAUAUCAGUUUAAUGAUAUAAAAGUUUGGAUUUUUCAUCAUUUUUGGUUUUGUAUGAUUUGAGAAAAGAGUGGUAAGAAGAAUAUUUUAUAUUUUUUUCUUUGACAUUUUACUUAUACAACUCCAAUCUUGGUUUCGAUUAUCAAACAUGCUUGAGAAAUAGAGGAUACACAUCUCAACUUAAUUAUUCUAGAAGAUUUUCAAAUUUAUUUUCAUACUAGGAUAAUGAAAUGUACUCCAACAUGGUAGAAAGCCAGGCUCUCUUAAUCGGGCUUGAGCUGGGGGUGGAAUAUGGGGUCGAUGCAAAGAUAGUAAAAACAGACUCACAACCUCUGACAAUGCAUAAUGUCCACAUAGUGGAAGGUGUAACGAAGAGGUUGGAGGAAAAAGAAAUCUAAGUUUAAACACUGUCACUACCACAUCCACAAAAGAAAACUAAUCUUCACAACCCUUGCUAGACUAUUAUGAGAGGUCACAGGCCUUUUUAUGCUGAAAAAAAUGGAGAUGGUAUUUUUCUAGAUUCCAAAGUUGAAAAACAAAGAGAUGUUUUAUUCCAUCUUAGCAAAGGAAGUGAAGUAAUACACAUUUACGUAUCUACCAAACAAGAUGUAAAGGUCUUCGUAUAUUGAGCAGGGACUUUGGCCCUACCUGAUUCAUAUCAAUAAAGGUGACAAGAAUUAAUAAAGAAAAAAAAAAUUAUAAACCACCCAUUAAAAUUGUCUCAAAUUUAGAAAAUAACUUAAAUUUUUCAGGGGUCUUAUGACCCCUCCCCCUUAACAAUUUCACAUUGAUAUUAAUAUGUCAUUUAUAGUCAUCUGGCAUAGUGAAUGUUGUUCACCCUCUCAAGGAGAGUGAGAGAGAUGAAUAAAAAAUAUAAUAUUUCAUAUUUAUUAAAAUUAAGGUACAAAUACCCCCAUACUUUCUCCGAAAUUUUUAUGACACACUUAAAUUUUAUGAAAAUUCUGUUACCACCCUAAAAUUAUCCUUUCUGUAUUUUUAUGUUUCCUUUGUUUUGACAUGGCUAUCAGAUCAGCACAAAAGAAGCACAAAAAUAUUCUACCACUUAGCAUCCACGUCAGCAAAAAGGAGCACUAGAAUACAGAAAAAAUGAGACCAUCAUAAAAUUUAGAUAUGUCAUAGCAACUACGAGUAGAGUUUACCGUGGUACUUGUCUCUUAUCCCAAUUAUUUUCUACUUUUUCCCCUUUUCUUUCUAUUUUUUAACUUUUUUUUCAAUUUUUAUUUUUUAUUAAGUUCUUUUCUUUCUCUUGUCAUCUCCAUCGAACAAAAUCUUGCUCUCUUUUAUGUUCAAAAGUUUUGCUACCCUUUCGUUCACCAUACCUAUUAUGUGUCCUUCAAAUUCUCUGUUUUAUCAUUCUUCGAGCUAUUACUGCAGUUUAUGAUUAGAAAUUUCACCGAUCGUGAAAAUGGAGCAAUGCUUGAGAAAUUAAUUGGAGGAAAUACUCCUCUUUUAU
rnacentral:lncRNA from 1 species